AGCCUCUGGAAUACAGAAAAGGGUUAAAGGAUAACAGAAAAUACUGAGACAAACGUUUGAUUAUCUGGCCAAAUGCUACUCCUGAUCACCUCAGAAAAAGACUUCUCCUGAGUAACUACUACUAUCAACAAUCAGAGGACCUAGCAGAAUGCAGUUUACAAGGUACUUUACACGUAUAUCAUCCCCUUGAAUGGUCAGGAACUGAAGAAGGUUGACUCCUAGGUGCUAAUGUCAUGGAGGAAGCCCCUUUGAAGCUACCACAGAAGCAGGUGGGAGUUAUAGAAAUCUGAAUUUAAUUACAUAAAUAGCUUCCUUGUUGAUCAAUCAUUGGGUGAAAGGAAAAGGCCACCAAGAGGAAGAAAAAAAAGGGAAAAAAGGUUUGGAACCCGGCUUCCAGAUUUGGGCAGAACAAUCAGCUAUCUGCCGCCAGAAGGCAGUUCCUGACCACAGGUGGGUGCUCGGUUGAGGGAAAUUGGGCAACACUUGUACCGAGUAUGUGACUGUCCUGAUGUCUUUUACAUUCUAACCCUUGUUAACCCACAGGGGCAUGUGGAGGGCUCUCCAGCCGUGUCUCAGAACCACUAUUCUGCUGCUUAACCAGUACAGUAAGAGGCUUAAAAAUCAGGAGUAGAAAUCAGGAGGCUUAGAAAUCCAGACACAAAGGAGAAAAAAUAUCACAAUAAACUCUGACUCUCAAGUGACA
rnacentral:lncRNA from 1 species